UUUAGAUGGCGACCGGCGCACGGGUGAGUAACACGUAUCCAACCUGCCGAUGACUCGGGGAUAGCCUUUCGAAAGAAAGAUUAAUACCCGAUGGCAUAGUUCUUCCGCAUGGUAGAACUAUUAAAGAAUUUCGGUCAUCGAUGGGGAUGCGUUCCAUUAGGUUGUUGGCGGGGUAACGGCCCACCAAGCCUUCGAUGGAUAGGGGUUCUGAGAGGAAGGUCCCCCACAUUGGAACUGAGACACGGCCCAGACUCCUACGGGAGGCAGCAUG
rnacentral:rRNA from 1 species